rnacentral:rRNA from 1 species
GAUGAACGCUGGCGGUGUGCCUAAUACAUGCAAGUCGAGCGAACGGACGAGAAGCUUGCUUUUCUGAUGUUAGCGGCGGACGGGCGGGUAACACGUGGAUAACCUACCUAUAUGUCUGGGAUAACUUCGGGAAACCGGAUCUAAUACCGCGUAAUAUUUUUAACCGCUUGGUUCAAAGGAUAAAGACGGUCUUGCUGUCACUUAUAGAUGGAUUCGCGCUGCAUUAGCUAGUUGGUAAGGUAACGGCUUACCAAGGCAACGAUGCAUAGCCGACCUGAGAGGGUGAUCGGCCACGCUGGAACUGAGACGCGGUCCAGACUCCUGCGGGAGGCAGCAGUAGGGAAUCUUGCGCAAUGGGCGAAAGCCUGAUGGAGCAAUCCCGCGUGAGUGACGAAGGUCUUCGGGUCGUAAAACUCUGUUAUUAGGGAAGAACAAAAGUGGAAGUAAAUGUGGACAUCUUGACGGUACCUAAUCAGUAAGCCCCGGCUAACUACGUG